rnacentral:rRNA from 1 species
AGUGAACGCUGGCGGUAGGCCUAACACAUGCAAGUCGAACGGCAGCACAGUAAGAGCUUGCUCUUACGGGUGGCGAGUGGCGGACGGGUGAGGAAUACAUCGGAAUCUACUUUUUCGUGGGGGAUAACGUAGGGAAACUUACGCUAAUACCGCAUACGACCUACGGGUGAAAGCAGGGGAUCUUCGGACCUUGCGCGAUUGAAUGAGCCGAUGUCGGAUUAGCUAGUUGGCGGGGUAAAGGCCCACCAAGGCGACGAUCCGUAGCUGGUCUGAGAGGAGGAUCAGCCACACUGGAACUGAGACACGGUCCAGACUCCUACGGGAGGCAGCAGUGGGGAAUAUUGGACAAUGGGCGCAAGCCUGAUCCAGCAAUACCGCGUGGGUGAAGAAGGCCUUCGGGUUGUAAAGCCCUUUUGUUGGGAAAGAAAAGCAGCAGGUUAAUACCCCGCUGUUCUGACGGUACCCAAAGAAUAAGCACCGGCUAACUUCGUG